GGGUUGGCCGAGUGGUUAAGGCGUUGGACUUAAGUUCCAAUGGACAAGUGUCCGCGUGGGUUCGUACCCCACCCAACCCU
rfam:Ciona savignyi cont_61454, whole genome shotgun sequence.